rnacentral:sRNA from 1 species
AGCGAUGCUUCUGCUUCUCCUGCUGGCGGACGUUCCCUGAUGACUUGCUGUGUUCCAUGUACUGUUCUGAGUGCCUGUGUGUACUGAUGCAUUCAGCCCUCCUCGCAAAAGCACUUUGAGGUAGAAACUGUCGUUAUUCUCAUUUGCAGUUUCAUUCAUUGGCUCCCAUGUACUAUCGAGGCUCAGCUGCAGCUGUUAUCGUGUAUGAUAUUACCAAGCAGGAUUCAUUUUAUACCUUGAAGAAAUGGGUCAAGGAGCUGAAAGAACAUGGUCCAGAAAACAUUGUAAUGGCCAUCGCUGGAAACAAGUGCGACCUCUCAGAUAUUAGGGAGGUUCCCCUGAAGGAUGCUAAGGAAUACGCUGAAUCCAUAGGUGCCAUCGUGGUUGAGACAAGUGCAAAAAAUGCUAUUAAUAUCGAAGAGCUCUUUCAAGGAAUCAGCCGCCAGAUCCCACCCUUGGACCCCCAUGAAAAUGGAAACAAUGGAACAAUCAAAGUUGAGAAGCCAACCAUGCAAGCCAGCCGCCGGUGCUGUUGACCCAAGGGCCGUGGUCCACGGUACUUGAAGAAGCCAGAGCCCACAUC